AAUUAUUGACGGAAUUUAUUCACGGUUAGGUUCGUCGGAAAUUUAAUAUCUAAGGAAUAAGCAUCCGUCGGAAUUUAAAAUUAUACCCAAACAAAAGGAAGCCAACCUUAGCCCUCUUUCAUUCCCGUUUCGAUCUGAUAUCAAUUCUGCAGUCGCACUCAAUGCACCUCCCGUGCCGCCGUUACUCACUGUCGUCUUGUCACCAAUGUUGUUGCACAACGGCUUUGAGUCCACACCGCCAAUAUCGUUCCAAUUUUCACUCCAAUUUAGAAGUCAGGUAGUUUUUGAUUAUGAUGACUUGGUGAAGAUUCCUUACUUUAGGUCGGAAAUAGAAAGCCUCACAGAUGAGGCUAUGCAGUUAAGGUAUCUUGUUUGGUGUGGUUUUUCUUUUAUUCUUACCAAAUCAUGAAAUAUACAUCUUUGCUGUCAUUCUUUUCCAUCUUCUAAUAAGUAUGCAUAUACAUUAUUAUAUAUCCCUUAUAUAUUUGAAAUCCAAGAGUGAUGCUGGUGGUGAGGUGGUAAAUCAGCCAGUGCAUAUGCCUUUGAUUUUGCCUAAAGUUCCUGGUCGGUUCUACUAUUAUUUUGGAAAACCAUUGGAAAUGGAAGGGAGGAAACGAGAACUUAAAGACGACAGACAAAAAUCUCAUGAGUUAUAUUUACAAGUGAAAUCUGAGGUUGAGAGAUGCAUUGCUUAUUUAAAGGAGAAAAGAGAAAGCGACCCCUGCAGAGGUAUAGGGCCUCGACUAUUAUACUAAGCUACACAUGGUUUUGGUUCUGAAGUUCCAACAUUUGAAAUUUGAUUGUUUUGCACACACACACAAAAAAGAUAAUUUUCUAAUUGGUUCUGAACGGGCCUUUGCAUUCCCUAGGUUAGAGGUAAAAUAUGAAUAUUGCCAGUAGUUUCAGAAUUAUUUUUAGGCCGAAAAGGCACGAUUUCUGAUAGAAACAUUGUACAAUUUUACCUAGUUUAAAUCAAUAAGAGAUAAAAUGCAAAUAAUAGAUUAUUGGGGAAGGAGAACAA